rnacentral:tRNA from 1 species
AGUGCCGUAGGCAAACUCGGUUAAGCCGCUAGAUUUUCAACCUAGUGAUUGCGGGUUCAAAUCCCGUCGGCACUA